rnacentral:rRNA from 1 species
GGGGGGGGGGGGGGGGGGGGGUGGGGGGGGGGGGGCGGGCGGGGGGGGGCGGGGUGGGGGGGGGGCGCGAGUGGCGGCGGGUUGAGUAACGCCGGGGUGAGCUUGCCGGGAAUGUGGUGUGACUACAGGACACGGGGUCGACUACCGGGUAGGCGCUAGUGCGGCCUGGUGGGGGUGGUAAAGGUUCGGCAGUUGGUGAUUGACGCGCUGCAUAUCAGCUUGUUGGUGGGGGAGUGGCUUACCAAGGCUUUGACGGGUAGCCGGCCUGAGAGGGUGACCGGCCACAGUGGGACUGAGAUACGGCGCAGACUCCUACGGGAGGCAGCAGUGGGGAAUAUUGCACAAUGGGCGGAAGCCUGAUGCAGCAACGCCGCGUGCGGGAUGACGGCCUUCGGGUUGUAAACCGCUUUCGCCUGUGACGAAGCGUGAGUGACGGUAAUGGGUAAAGAAGCACCGGCUAACUACGUG